GCAGAGGUUCCGCCCCCCCCAGCUGGCGCCCCACAAACAGCAGAGCCGCAGCGAUGCUGCAGUGGGUGCGGCUCUGGGGGGUGCAACGCGACCCAUGGGUGCGCCCCACUGAUGCGCCCCAUAUAUGCGCCCCAUAGAUGCGCCCCACAGAUGCGCCCCACUGAUGAUGCACCCCAUUAGCUCUGCCCCGUUAGAUGACGUGCCCCAUAGAUGCGCCCCAUAGAUGUGCCCCACAGACACUCCGCAUGGACGCACCCCACAGAUUCACCCCACAGAUUCGCCCCACAGAUUCGCCCCACGGCUUCCCGGCCGCAGCGCGGCUCACCGGGGCAGCGGUACAACUUCCUGGCCUGUGCGAUGUCGCCUUUGCUGAGCCGCGCGCGCUGCCCGAUGGGCGGCCGGACGCCGUUCACGUCGUAUUUGGGCAGGAUGGUGUCCAGGAAAAUCCCCCUGCGGGCAGCGCGGCGCCGUGGGGCGCGGAUCAGCACCGCCACACAGGGGGCGCCAUGGGGCACAGCGGGGUGCUGGGGUGCUAUGGGAUGCUAUGGGGCGCUAUGGGGCACAGUGCGGUGCUAUGGGGUGCUAUGGGGCGCUAUGGGGCGCUAUGGGGUGCUAUGGGGCGCUAUGGGGCACAGUGCGGUGCUAUGGGG
rnacentral:lncRNA from 1 species